UACGCGAGCUGGGUUCAGAACGUCGUGAGACAGUUCGGUCCCUAUCCGCCGUGGGUGUAGGAUAUUUGAGAAGAUCUGACCCUAGUACGAGAGGACCGGGUUGGACGAACCUCUGGUCAACCAGUUGUUCCGCCAGGAGCAUCGCUGGGUAGCUACGUUCGGAAGGGAUAAACGCUGAAAGCAUAUAAGCGUCAAGCCCACUUCAAGACUAGAUAUCCCGUAGGGUUAACCUACCUAAAGGCCCCUCGUAGACUACGAGGUUGAUAGGUUGCAGGUGGAAGCGCAGCAAUGUGUGAAGCCGAGCAAUACUAAUUGGCCGUGAGGCUUGACCAU
rnacentral:rRNA from 1 species